CGUAGGGGCCAAGCGUUGUUCGGAUUUACUGGGCGUAAAGGGCGCGUAGGCGGCGAAUCAAGUCAGCUGUGAAAUCUCCGAGCUUAACUCGGAACGGUCAGCUGAUACUGUUUUGCUAGAGUGCAGAAAGGGCAACCGGAAUUCUUGGUGUAGCGGUGAAAUGCGUAGAUAUCAAGAGGAACACCUGAGGCGAAGGCGGGUUGCUAGGCUGACACUGACGCUGAAGCGCGAAAGCUAGGGUAGCAAACGGGAUUAGAUACCCCGGUAGUCCUAGCCCUAAACGAUGUAUGCUUGGUGUCUGGAGUUUUUUAUCUCUGGGUGCCGUCGCUAACGCUUUUAGCAUACCGCCUGGGGAGUACGCACGCAAGUGUG
rnacentral:rRNA from 1 species